rnacentral:sRNA from 1 species
CCUGAGGGUAGCGAGAGACGUGACAGGACCGAGCAGCUGGGGGCUGCAGCCUGCUGUGUCCCCACCGAUCCCAGAGAGAGGCUGUGAGUCUGGAUCUGGGCGUUCGCACCCUGAGAGAGGGGGUCAAAGCUCCCCUGCGGCCCCGAGGAAGAAGAGCAAGGUUGAGGACCGCCUCGGGUCACCAGAGUAGUUUGGAGGCAGGCCUGCAGGCGCGUCCCCGCUCCUCAGCUCCAAGCUGACGUAUCUACACCUGCCGGCGGGCAUUGAGAUGGCUGGUUAUGCCACUACUCCCAGCCCCGUGCAGACCCUUCAGGAGGAAGCGGUGUGUGCCAUCUGCUUGGAUUACUUCAAGGACCCCGUGUCCAUCAGCUGCGGGCACAACUUCUGCCGAGGGUGUGUGACCCAGCUGUGGGGUAAGGAGGACGAGGAGGAAGAUGAAUGGGAGGAGGAGGAGGAGGACGAGGAGGCGGUGGGGGCCGUGGAUGGAUGGGACGGCUCCAUUCGAGAGGUGUCGUAUCGGGGGAAUGCUGACGAAGAGUUGUUCCAAGACCAAGAUGACGAUGAACUCUGGCUCGGUGACAGUGGUAGAACUAAUUGGGACAACGUAGACUAUAUGUGGGACGAGGAGGAAGAAGAAGAGGAAGAUCAGGACUGUUACCUAGGAGGCUUGAGACCUGACCUGAGGAUUGAUGUCUACCGAGAAGAAGAAGAAACACUGGAAGCAUACGAUGAGGACGAAGAUGAAGAGCUGUAUCCUGACAUCCACCCGCCUCCUUCCUUGCCCCUUCCAGGGCAGUUCACCUGCCCCCAGUGCCGAAAGAGCUUUACACGUCGCAGCUUUCGUCCCAACUUGCAGCUGGCCAACAUGGUCCAGAUAAUUCGCCAGAUGUGCCCCACUCCUUAUCGGGGAAACCGGAGUAAUGAUCAGGGCAUGUGCUUUAAACACCAGGAAGCCCUGAAACUCUUCUGUGAGGUGGACAAAGAGGCCAUCUGUGUGGUGUGCCGAGAAUCCAGGAGCCACAAACAGCACAGCGUGCUGCCUUUGGAGGAGGUGGUUCAGGAGUACCAGGUGCUUAGUUGCUAAACUUCUCUUUCUUUGAUGAGGGAGACACGGUGGAGAGAGAUGGUCAUGUGGGUAAAAAAGGAGACACAAAACCAUGAAGAUUGGGGCAGAUUGGCUUCCCCAGAGGAAGCUGAACAGAUAAUAUGACGGUCACUGGAAGCGGACCACUACUGCUAAUACUGGCAGUCUACCUAAGUGUAAGGAACAUGAGUAACAGAUACCCAGUACUUCAUUUCUCUCUAAUGUGAGUCCUUGACCAAUUCCCUGGGACAGGUGCAGAUAGGAAUAGAAAGCCACAGUACUUGGAGAUAAUAGACAUUUGGGACCUCAGCACAAGCAGUGUCAAAAUAGAUGUAUUGGUAGACAGAAAUGCCAGAUGUGAGUCCUAAACUACUGGUAGCAAUUGGCCACACCCCCCUCUCAAAGUCUGGGAUUGCAUCUCUACCUUCAGUGGGGUCCGUUUUCCUUCUAGAGAAAGGCAAAGCAUUUAAGCAUCUUUGAUGGAUCAGAAUGUGCCUCAUAUCCUGAUCACUUUUCUUUCCUGGUAUUUUAUCAUAGUGGAAGGAGUGCGGGAUUUAGGAUCAGAUGACCUGGCUCUGCCACUUACUGUCUAGUCUUGGGCAGGUGUCAACCUCCUUGAGCUUCACUUUU